rnacentral:rRNA from 1 species
CUGGGUUACGACGGCAGUGAUUAGAGUUUGAUCAUGGCUCAGGAUGAACGCUAGCUACAGGCUUAACACAUGCAAGUCGAGGGGCAGCAUAAUCGAAGCUUGCUUUGAUUGAUGGCGACCGGCGCACGGGUGAGUAACGCGUAUCCAACCUUCCCCUUAGUAGAGGAUAGCCCGGCGAAAGUCGGAUUAAUACUCUAUGUUAUUCGUUGAGGACAUCUGAAAUGAAUCAAAGGUUUACCGCUAAGGGAUGGGGAUGCGUCUGAUUAGGUUGUUGGCGGGGUAACGGCCCACCAAGCCCACGAUCAGUAGGGGUUCUGAGAGGAAGGUCCCCCACAUUGGAACUGAGACACGGUCCAAACUCCUACGGGAGGCAGCAGUGAGGAAUAUUGGUCAAUGGACGGAAGUCUGAACCAGCCAAGUAGCGUGCAGGAUGACGGCCCUAUGGGUUGUAAACUGCUUUUGUACGGGAAUAAAGUGCGGGACGUGUCCCGUUUUGUAUGUACCGUAAGAAUAAGGACCGGCUAAUUCCGUGCCAGCAGCCGCGGUAAUACGGAAGGUCCGGGCGUUAUCCGGAUUUAUUGGGUUUAAAGGGAGCGCAGGCUGGAGAUUAAGCGUGACGUGAAAUGCCGCGGCUCAACCGUGGAAGUGCGUCGCGAACUGGUUUCCUUGAGUGUAUUCGACGUCAGCGGAAUUCGUGGUGUAGCGGUGAAAUGCUUAGAUAUCACGAAGAACUCCGAUUGCGAAGGCAGCUGGCGAGGCUAUAACUGACGCUAAAGCUCGAAGGUGCGGGUAUCGAACAGGAUUAGAUACCCUGGUAGUCCGCACGGUAAACGAUGGAUGCCCGCUGUAUGCGAUAUACUGUAUGCGGCCAAGCGAAAGCGUUAAGCAUCCCACCUGGGGAGUACGCCCGGCAACGGUGAAACUCAAAGGAAUUGACGGGGCCCGCACAAGCGGAGGAACAUGUGGUUUAAUUCGAUGAUACGCGAGGAACCUUACUCGGGCUUGAACUGCAGAGACGAUUCAGAGAUGAUGAAGGUCCUUCGGGACUCUUGUGGAGGUGCUGCAUGGUUGUUCGUCAGCUCGUGGCCGUGAGGUGUCGGCUUAAUUGCCAUUAACGAGGCGCCAACCCCUGCGCACUAGAUUGCAUUCAAGUCAAUGCUGGCACACCUCAGGGUGGGACGAGCCCAACGCCUAAGGUUGAGAAAGUUGGGGUAAAUCCUAUAUAAACACAGGGCGCCUAUCGUACCGAGGGGCUGUCAACCACCACGAGGUU